rnacentral:misc_RNA from 1 species
UCUACWAAUGGCUAAGAUUUCGGUCUUAGUGUAUAUGAGCCGUUGAAUUUUAAGGAGCAAUACCCAAUUUUUUGUUCUGUCAGGGGGGCGGGUAUUGCCCCUUCGGUUGGGGUUAGGUUAGUAUUGUUUUGUUUUACUCACAUAAGUAUUUUUUCCAUUUUCUAUUUCUUUUUCUGAAUUUCGUAAUUCAGAARAAGAAAUAGAAAAAAAAGCAUUAAUACGGAUUUUUUUAUUGAGUAUUCKAUUAUGCUUUGAUUCUUUAAUAAUUAAUUGAAAAUUUAUAAAUGUUAUUUACGUAAUAUGUUUCCCGACRUCCUUUUAUUCCUAAAGUUCAAAGCUCUUUUAUUAUUCUAUCAUUGUUCUUUUUUUUCUAGUUUAGUAAAAAGGAAACUAAUAUCAAGAAAACAAAGGAUUAUCUUUUUUGAUUAAGUAAAGUAUCCUUACUUCAGU